UAAAAUUGAUAUUCUUUAGACAUAUUCAAGUACAUUAGUAUCUUGUGUAUAUUUAUUUCGAUCCUGAUACCUACGGAGCCUUGGAUGACAAAUUUGAAUUGUUUUAAUAAUUCAAAUAUAUAUCGGUAUUUAUUUGAAUAGGGUAUGAAUCGGUAAUAACCGGUUGACAACAAUGAAUACCGGCAACAUUAAUUGUCAUACCCUAAGGAAAAGGAUGUUAUAGAAUUGAGAAAAUGUUUUUCAUCCAAGGCUCCAAAAUCGUUAUUCAAUCAAAAUCAAAAAUAAUUUUGUAGUUUUUUUAGUUUUAUUAAGUGGUCCCGGGAACGGUAGCUUUCGAUUCUAUUGAUUCUAAUAAGUGUUAGAACAUUUACAUAUGUAUAAGUGCAAUACAACCUGACUAUUCGAUUGACCGAGUCCUGGGAACCUUAGAAAUAUUUUUCCACCGAACAUCGCUGCUAGUCCAGAUAGAAAAUAAAAUACCGUCACACUCAAAAGGUAGGUUGCCAAAGGUAAGUGCCUGGCAGCGUAGCAAAUUCAAUGUUGGGCCCAUCACUGGAGUGCCGAGUCCCGUGGAGGAGAAGGAACAGUCGCAAUCGAAGGACCUAGACUGCAUAGCCUAUGCAGAACCACGUCACCAGUCUGAAAAAUAUUUACUCACAAGUGUAAACGGCAAAAGAGGUUGCCGAUUACAUUUUCAAGUCACCCGUAUAAAAGGCGAAAGGUUGUUGUUUUUCAGUGCAGUCAUAAUGUUCAUAGCUAUGGAGCUGCUUCUAUGGCGCGAUCUUCUAAAGCCCCAUCCUUCGUCUUCAUCCGCGGAGCUUUCGCUUGUACGGAUAAGUGGGUUCGAAAUACCAUUGCAGGCCCUUGCUACUGCUGGUUCAUAUUGUCCUUCAGUAUAUAAAUAUUUAUCUAUUGAGAUAUUGAGUGUCUGUCACAGCCCUACUCAGAAUGUUCUCCAUUCUUAUAUGCUUUCUCUUUUUCGAAGUAAGUAUGGAAGAGUUUUCAGCUUAUUCAGACCAAUACUUUUUGUGUUCUUGCAGUUCCCCACCCAAAUGGAUUGCAUUUAAAUGUGCAUCUACAUAUGUAUGUCUGUGCAUAUUUAUCAUGACUUCGAUUAUGUGGAUCACUGUCAUGCUAUUUAAUUCAUCUAAGAAAUCACUGAAUCGGAAACACAUGUAUCAUAAUUUUCUGAUUUUUUAGACCAGCACUACGAAUAGUUCUUUGCCUAUUACUCAACCCGCCUGGUACUUCUGCAAGCGUCCUGUGAAAGGAACUGACUAGAGGCCGUUGGGAUAGCGUGCCCUGAGGGCCUUCAUAGACGUCAGGACCCGUAGUGGCCUUCAGUAUGUAGAUUGUUCGAACGGCCAACAGCUACUUAAACAACUUGAGAGCUGACUGAAUAUCUCAAUAUAUAAAUAAUACAUACUGAAGGCCAAUAUGCACCAGCGAUAGCCAGGGCCAGCGAUGGUAUUUAGACGCUACAUAUCCGUGCAAGCGAAAGAAUCGCAGAUGGAGACAAAGUAUGGGGCUUUCCAAGAAUCAAUAAAGAAGCUCCUUAACUGUGAAC